rnacentral:pre_miRNA from 1 species
CUGCUACUCCCUCCGUUCCAAAUUACUCGUCGCUGAAAUGGAUGUAUCUAGAACUAAAAUACAUCUAGAUACAUCCAUAUGUGAGACAAGUAAUUCGGAACGGAGGGAGUACUUG